rnacentral:rRNA from 1 species
GACGAACGCUGGCGGCGUGCCUAAUACAUGCAAGUAGAACGCACAGUUUAUACCGUAGCUUGCUACACCAUAGACUGUGAGUUGCGAACGGGUGAGUAACGCGUAGGUAACCUGCCUGGUAGCGGGGGAUAACUAUUGGAAACGAUAGCUAAUACCGCAUAAUAUUAAUUAUUGCAUGAUAAUUAAUUGAAAGGUGCAAUUGCACCACUACCAGAUGGACCUGCGUUGUAUUAGCUAGUAGGUGAGGUAACGGCUCACCUAGGCGACGAUACAUAGCCGACCUGAGAGGGUGAGCGGCCACACUGGGACUGAGACACGGCCCAGACUCCUACGGGAGGCAGCAGUAGGGAAUCUUCGGCAAUGGACGAAAGUCUGACCAAGCAACGCCGCGUGAGUGAAGAAGGUUUUCGGAUCGUAAAGCUCUGUUGUAAGAGAAGAACGGGUGUGAGAGUGGAAAGUUCACACUGUGACGGUAGCUUACCAGAAAGGGACGGCUAACUACGUG